GAUGAAGAACGUAGCAAAAUGCGAUACUUGGUGUGAAUUGCAGAAUCCCGUGAACCAUCGAGUUUUUGAACGCAAGUUGCGCCCGAAGCCUUUUGGCCGAGGGCACGUCUGCUUGGGCGUCACGCAUCGCGUCGCCCCCCACAAUUCUCCGUAUGGGGAGCUCGUGUUUUGGGGGCGGAUAUUGGUCUCCCGUGCUCACGGCGUGGUUGGCCGAAAUAGGAGUCCCUUCGAUGGACGCACGAACUAGUGGUGGUCGUAAAAACCCUCGUCUUUUGUUUCGUGCUGUUAGUCGCAAGGGAAACUCUAAGAAAACCCCAACGUGUCGUCUUUUGACGGCGCUUCGACCGCGACCCCAGGUCAGGCGGGACUACCCGCUGAGUUUAAGCAUAUCAAUAAGCGGAGGA
rnacentral:misc_RNA from 1 species